GCAAGUCGAGCGGUAACAUUUCUAGCUUGCUAGAAGAUGACGAGCGGCGGACGGGUGAGUAAUGCUUGGGAACAUGCCUUGAGGUGGGGGACAACAGUUGGAAACGACUGCUAAUACCGCAUAAUGUCUACGGACCAAAGGGGGCUUCGGCUCUCGCCUUUAGAUUGGCCCAAGUGGGAUUAGCUAGUUGGUGAGGUAAUGGCUCACCAAGGCGACGAUCCCUAGCUGGUUUGAGAGGAUGAUCAGCCACACUGGGACUGAGACACGGCCCAGACUCCUACGGGAGGCAGCAGUGGGGAAUAUUGCACAAUGGGCGCAAGCCUGAUGCAGCCAUGCCGCGUGUGUGAAGAAGGCCUUCGGGUUGUAAAGCACUUUCAGUCAGGAGGAAAGGUUAGUAGUUAAUACCUGCUAGCUGUGACGUUACUGACAGAAGAAGCACCGGCUAACUCCGUGCCAGCAGCC
rnacentral:rRNA from 1 species